CUUGCACUUGGGGAUUAGUGGCGAACGGGUGAGUAACACGUGAGUAACCUGCCCUGGACUCUGGGAUAACCCCGAGAAAUCGGAGCUAAUACCGGAUAGGACCCUUCACCGCAUGGUGCGGGGUGGAAAGUUUUUCGGUCUGGGAUGGACUCGCGGCCUAUCAGCUUGUUGGUGAGGUAAUGGCUCACCAAGGCGUCGACGGGUAGCCGGCCUGAGAGGGUGACCGGCCACACUGGGACUGAGACACGGCCCAGACUCCUACGGGAGGCAGCAGUGGGGAAUAUUGCACAAUGGGCGAAAGCCUGAUGCAGCAACGCCGCGUGCGGGAUGACGGCCUUCGGGUUGUAAACCGCUUUUAGUAAGGAAGAAGCCGCAAGGUGACGGUACUUGCAGAAAAAGGACCGGCUAACUACGUGCCAGCAGCCGCGGUAAUACGUAGGGUCCGAGCGUUGUCCGGAAUUAUUGGGCGUAAAGAGCUCGUAGGCGGUUUGUCGCGUCUGCUGUGAAAACUAGAGGCUCAACCUCUAGCCUGCAGUGGGUACGGGCAGACUUGA
rnacentral:rRNA from 1 species